rnacentral:lncRNA from 1 species
AAAUGACCCUCGUGGUGCAACAUCCUGAGCCAGCCCAGCGCGGGUGACAUUUGACUGGAUUUCCAGCCCCGGGACUUGCCUCCCAUUUGAUUUUGCCGCAGCGGGAUCAACAAUUGGCUCGGAAGGAAGGCACGGGGAGCGCUGAUAAAGUCGGGRCUCACAACAACAAGCCCAGCAGCGCUGGUGACCCCUUGGGCAGCUCAGAGAAUUUCCACACAGAACUCUGGGGCUCAGCAGGACCUGGGAUUGUGCAGGGGCUGCUGAUSCUGGUGGGAAUUGUUGGAAAAGAGGAGAGAUUGUUGGAAAUUGGGAGGAAUUGUUGGGAAGAGGGAGACUGACUCAACCGAUGUUGAUCAAUCAGGCGAAUGCACACCUCAGAGCUCUGCCCCUCAGCUACUGAUCCCUAAUCAGCUCUUAAUUAGCUUGAUGAGUGAC